GAUGAAGAACGUAGCAAACUGCGAUAAGUAAUGUGAAUUGCAGAAUUCAGUGAAUCAUCGAGUCUUUGAACGCACAUUGCGCCCCCUGGCAUUCCGGGGGGCAUGCCUGUCCGAGCGUCAUUGCUGCCCUUCAAGCCCGGCUUGUGUGUUGGGUCGUCGUCCCCCCCGGGGGACGGGCCCGAAAGGCAGCGGCGGCACCGCGUCCGGUCCUCGAGCGUAUGGGGCUUUGUCACCCGCUCGAUUAGGGCCGGCCGGGCGCCAGCCGGCGUCUCCAACCUUCUAUUUUACCAGGUUGACCUCGGAUCAGGUAGGGAUACCCGCUGAACUUAAGCAUAUCAAUAAGCGGAGGA
rnacentral:misc_RNA from 1 species